rnacentral:rRNA from 1 species
GCUGGAUUCGCUAGUAAUCGCGCAUCAGCCAUGGCGCGGUGAAUACGUUCCCGGGCCUUGUACACACCGCCCGUCAAGCCAUGGGAGCCGGGAGCGCUUGAAGUGCGUCGCCGCGAGGCGCGCCCUAGAGCGAGACCGGUGACUGGGGCUAAGUCGUAACAAGGUAUC